GAUGAACGCUAGCGGCAGGCUUAACACAUGCAAGUCGUGGGGCAGCGCGAGGUAGCAAUACUUUGGCGGCGACCGGCAAACGGGUGCGGAACACGUACGCAACCUUCCUCAGAGCGGGGAAUAGCCUCUCGAAAGAGAGAUUAAUACCCCAUAGUAUCUCGAAACUGCAUGGUUUUGAGAUUAAAGCUUCGGCACUUUGAGAUGGGCGUGCGGCUGAUUAGGUAGUUGGUAGGGUAACGGCCUACCAAGCCAACGAUCAGUAGCUGAUGUGAGAGCAUGAUCAGCCACACGGGCACUGAGACACGGGCCCGACUCCUACGGGAGGCAGCAGUGAGGAAUAUUGGGUCAAUGGAGGAAACUCUGAACCAGCCAUGCCGCGUGAAGGAUGAAGGUCCUCUGGAUUGUAAACUUCUUUUAUAGUAAGAAGAAACCCCAUUAUUCUUAAUGGGUUGACGGUACUCUAUGAAUAAGCACCGGCUAACUCCGUGCCAGCAGCCGACGG
rnacentral:rRNA from 1 species